AUUUUCUAUGUUAUAAUUAUGCUUAAG
rnacentral:piRNA from 1 species